rnacentral:rRNA from 1 species
AUGUCUGCAUUUACCUCGUGUGAUGCUGCCACAAAAUUAGACCUUCUGCAUCCCCUAAAAUUGGGCAAACAAGUCCUGCAAGUCGGCGGCGGGCAGCUUGCGGGUGAUCCAGCCGAUGUCGAGGUAGACGAAGCGCGGGGGCGGGGGCAGGUCGACCUUGACGCGGACGACGCUGAACCAGACGAGGAAGCGGCGGACCUGCACGCCCUCCAGCUGGGUGAGGGAGCCGUAGCGGAGCACGCCCGUGACGCGGGGCUCGAAGUAGGUGAGGUACUCGAAGUGGACGUAGCAGGGGCCCGCGAGGUCGACGGCGAGGCUGCCGUUGCCGGCGAGCGAGAAGGCGGUGACGUUGGCCGGGAAGACGCCCGGGGGAAGGCCGAAGAGCGGGAGGAGCUCGUAGAUGGUCUUGUUCCUCCCCGGCGCGGGAGUCGGGGUCGGGGUCGGGGGCUCCGCCGGCGCCGCCGCCGCCGCCGCGCCGGCGAGGAGGAGGAGGAGGAGGGGGAGGAGGGAGAUGGGCGGCAUCGGGGGAGGGGGGAGGGAGAGGAAAACUCAGAAAUACUGCGUUUAUUUUUCGUCUCUCUCUCGAAGAGUCCGGAUGGGUUUGGGUUUUAUGGCCUUUGGUCAACUUGGUUGGGUUUGCUUUUCGAAUUGUGGUUCUCCAAUCCAAGCCGUGAAAUGGCUUCAAGCAACGAAAUUGGAGGCUCGGAUCCGCUGGGGGAUAUACACCGUUUCUGCUUAAACAACGGGGGAAAGAUGCUUUAG